rnacentral:rRNA from 1 species
ACGAACGCUGGCGGCGUGCUUAACACAUGCAAGUCGAACGAUGAACCGCUUUCGGGCGGGGAUUAGUGGCGAACGGGUGAGUAACACGUGGGCAAUCUGCCCUGCACUCUGGGACAAGCCCUGGAAACGGGGUCUAAUACCGGAUACUCACUGCCUUGGGCAUCCUUGGCGGUGGAAAGCUCCGGCGGUGCAGGAUGAGCCCGCGGCCUAUCAGCUAGUUGGUGAGGUAAUGGCUCACCAAGGCGACGACGGGUAGCCGGCCUGAGAGGGCGACCGGCCACACUGGGACUGAGACACGGCCCAGACUCCUACGGGAGGCAGCAGUGGGGAAUAUUGCACAAUGGGCGAAAGCCUGAUGCAGCGACGCCGCGUGAGGGAUGACGGCCUUCGGGUUGUAAACCUCUUUCAGCAGGGAAGAAGCGAGAGUGACGGUACCUGCAGAAGAAGCGCCGGCUAACUACGUGCCAGCAGCCGCGGUAAUACGUAGGGCGCAAGCGUUGUCCGGAAUUAUUGGGCGUAAAGAGCUCGUAGGCGGCUUGUCACGUCGGUUGUGAAAGCCCGGGGCUUAACCCCGGGUCUGCAGUCGAUACGGGCAGGCUAGAGUUCGGUAGGGGAGAUCGGAAUUCCUGGUGUAGCGGUGAAAUGCGCAGAUAUCAGGAGGAACACCGGUGGCGAAGGCGGAUCUCUGGGCCGAUACUGACGCUGAGGAGCGAAAGCGUGGGGAGCGAACAGGAUUAGAUACCCUGGUAGUCCACGCCGUAAACGGUGGGCACUAGGUGUGGGCAACAUUCCACGUUGUCCGUGCCGCAGCUAACGCAUUAA